rnacentral:tRNA from 1 species
GGUGGCACAGUGGUUAAAGUGCUUGGCUGCUAACCAAACAGUUGGUGGUUCGAAUCCAUCAGCCACUG